GAAAACGCAAGAGACGUGCCUAACACAUGCAAAUCGAGCGAGCGGAACUAACAGAUUUACUUCGGUAAUGACGUUAGGAAAGCGAGCGGCGGAUGGGUGAGUAACACGUGGGGAACCUGCCCCAUAGUCUGGGAUACCACUUGGAGACAGGUGCUAAUACCGGAUAAGAAAGCAGAUCGCAUGAUCAGUUUUUAAGAGGCGGCGUAAGCUGUCGCUAUGGGAUGGCCCCGCGGUGCAUUAGCUAGUUGGUAAGGUAAAGGCUUACCAAGGCGAUGAUGCAUAGCCGAGUUGAGAGACUGAUCGGCCACAUUGGGACUGAGACACGGCCCAAACUCCUACGGGAGGCAGCAGUAGGGAAUCUUCCACAAUGGACGCAAGUCUGAUGGAGCGACGCCGCGUGAGUGAAGAAGGUUUUCGGAUCGUAAAGCUCUGUUGUUGG
rnacentral:rRNA from 1 species